GGGGAGCAUAGAUUGAACCCGUUUGGCUCUCUAUGGUCGGUCCAUGGUCCAUAAUUCGCGAUCCUGAAACGUUUUUCUCCUGAGCUCGUUGCUGCUGAAGACAACUAUAUUCAGGACAUUCUUGAAUUUUUUAAAGGAUGAGGAGCACAAGCAACCCAUCAGAAGAAUAUUCAUUCUAUUGGUUGUUUUUAACUUCAGCCACAGGCGACAUUGCUUUGUUUAAUUUAGAACUUUGCUGAGUAGUACCACUUUUAGAGCUGUUUUGCUCCAGGCACUUGGAGCUGCUUCAAUUGCAGUUCCGAGUUCCAACUGCUAUGCUCUUGACAAUUCCAGUCACAUUUAUGAUUUUAGCGGGUGGAUUGGACAUCCAUUUGAGUAUGAUGGGAAGGUAAUGUCUAAAAUGAUAAUCAUACAUCAUUAUUUUUUGAGUGUGAAACAAUAUGCAGAGUGUACUGAUUGUUGGUACUGGUUAUAAUUUUCAAAGCUCAUCUAUGGCUUUCUCUUUCCUUCUUCUUCUUCUUCUUCU